rnacentral:rRNA from 1 species
GUCCACGCUGUAAACGAUGUGUGCUAGACGUUGGGGAGCCUAGCUCUUCGGUGUCGCAGCUAACGCGGUAAGCACACCGCCUGGGGAGUACGGCCGCAAGGUUAAAACUCAAAGGAAUUGACGGGGGCCCGCACAAGCGGUGGAGCAUGUGGUUUAAUUCGACGCAACGCGAAGAACCUUACCAGCUCUUGACAUGUCUCGUAUGGGUGGGGGAGACCGCACCCUUCGGUUCGGCCGGCGGGAACACAGGUGCUGCAUGGCUGUCGU